rnacentral:tRNA from 1 species
UGGAGAGAUUCCCGAGUUAGGUCAAAGGGGACAGACUGUAAAUCUGUUGCGUAAGCUUCGGAGGUUCAAAUCCUCCUCUCUCCAU